rnacentral:lncRNA from 1 species
UCGCAGUUAAACAAUGUUAGCCUCGAAUCUCUAGCCUGCAUCCUUGAAUCCAAUCAUUUGACCAGAAUAAAUUAUAAAGAUUGGCUAAAAAAUCUCAGGAUUAUCCUGACUUUUGAAAAACUAGGUCAUCUACUCAAUUAAAAAUCUCUAGUAUUAUCAAACCUUUCUACUACUGAGCAAAGAGCUGUUUAUGAAAAGUGGAUGGAUGAAGACAGUCGGGUCAAGUGCUACGUGCUGGCAUCUAUGUCAAAUGAGUUGCAAAGUUAGCAUGAGCAUAUGCC